rnacentral:rRNA from 1 species
UACGUAGGGUCCGAGCGUUGUCCGGAAUUAUUGGGCGUAAAGGGCUUGUAGGCGGUCUGUUGCGUCGGGAGUGAAAACUUACAGCUUAACUGUGAGCGUGCUUCCGAUACGGGCAGACUAGAGGUAUGCAGGGGAGAACGGAAUUCCUGGUGUAGCGGUGAAAUGCGCAGAUAUCAGGAGGAACACCGAUGGCGAAGGCAGGUCACUGGGCCGCAACUGACGCUGAGGAGCGAAAGCAUGGGGAGCGAACAGG